AUGACCGUUGUUGUCGUGUUUCUGUGAGGGAGGCAGCUAACUGUGAGCUGCUGGUCGUUAUAACUGACUGCUCGGUCGGUCCCGAAUUAUUUAAUAUUUGCCUGUUAAUUUUUUUUAUUUUAAGCGAAUUUGAGUCAUGACAUGUCAAAGGAGAACAAAAACUGAGAACAUAAGAAGGGUCAGAUGUGUUCUGCGAGGUCCUGCAAACAUACUGGCAAAAUGAGAGUCAUCAAGGAUCCAGCUUAUUCUUGAAACAUUGGACGGUACAGAAAGUGCACAAGUGGGAGAGAGUGGAGGGGACGGCGUCAGAAUGGACCUAGCACUGGGACUCUUUCAAGGAUCACCCGAAGCACAGCCACACUAUAUGCACGAGGCUGUUGGUUCUAACAUUUUAGAGUCCCCAUUGGUAGAAAUCUCAUUCUGCAUUCCCCACGGUA